rnacentral:rRNA from 1 species
UACGUAGGGCGCAAGCGUUGUCCGGAAUUAUUGGGCGUAAAGAGCUCGUAGGUGGUUUGUUACGUCUGCUGUGAAAACCUAGGGCUUAACCCUGGGCCUGCAGUGGAUACGGGCAGACUAGAGGUAGGUAGGGGAGAAUGGAAUUCCCGGUGUAGCGGUGAAAUGCGCAGAUAUCGGGAGGAACACCGGUGGCGAAGGCGGUUCUCUGGGCCUUACCUGACGCUGAGGAGCGAAAGCGUGGGGAGCGAACAGG